rnacentral:rRNA from 1 species
GUAGUCAUAUGCUUGUCUCGAGAUUAAGCCAUGCAUGUCUAAUUAUAAGCAAUCUAUACAGUGAAACUGCGAAUGGCUCAUUAAAUCAAUUAUCGUUUAUUUGAUAGUACCUUACUACUUGGAUAACCGUGGUAAUUCUAGAGCUAAUACAUGCUAAAAAUCCCGACCUCUGGAAGGGAUGUAUUUAUUAAAUAAAAAACCAAUGCCUCCGGGCUCCUUGGUGAUUCAUGAUAACUUUACGAAUCGCAUGGCCUUGCGCCGGCGAUGGUUCAUUCAAAUUUCUGCCCUAUCAACUUUCGUUGGUAGGAUAGUGGCCUACCAUGGUUUCAACGGGUAACGGGGAAU